rnacentral:lncRNA from 1 species
GAUUCAAUUGACAAAAGAAAACAAUGGAUGAAUGGAUGUUGUUGGGGGUUUACAAUUUCAUCUAAUCCGCCCUCUCUUAUCUACUCCUCUUGAAUAUUAGUUUGAUUAAUUCAAUUGUUAUGCGACUUUCUUAGCCUACCCUUAACCCGAUCCCUAGGCGAAAAGAGCCUAACAUUAACUACUAGCUUGCUAUCCCUAGCCUCCCCUAGUAAUCAAUACCGCAUUAUAAACGGAAGUUAACGCAAUUGAUCGUCCUACCCCUAUCCCUAGGUGGUAUUGCAAAAUCAAGAAAUUACUCACCAGUUCAUGUCAUUACUGUACGUCCCCAUAUCAAUAAGGACAAACAUCAGUUACCGAAUGAGUUAAACGAUAAGGGCCUUAAGC